rnacentral:rRNA from 1 species
AGGAUUAGAUACCCUGAUAGUCCACGCCGUAAACGAUGUCUACUAGCCGUUGGGACUCUUGAAGUCUUAGUGGCGCAGCUAACGCACUAAGUAGACCGCCUGGGGAGUACGGCCGCAAGGUUAAAACUCAAAUGAAUUGACGGGGGCCCGCACAAGCGGUGGAGCAUGUGGUUUAAUUCGACGCAACGCGAAGAACCUUACCUGGCCUUGACAUGCAGAGAACUUUCCAGAGAUGGAUUGGUG